CCUCGUCGAUCUGUUGCGGGCAGAUGAAGUGGAUGUGCGCGUCGAACCCGCCGGCCGUCAGGAUCCUGCCCUCGCCCGCGAUCGCUUCGGUGCCGGGCCCGACGAUGAUGGUCACGCCGGGCUGCGUGUCGGGGUUGCCGGCCUUGCCUAUGGCCGCGAUGCGCCCGUCCUUCAGGCCGAUGUCAGCCUUGUAGAUGCCGGUGUGGUCCACCACCAGCGCGUUGGUGAUCACGGUGUCGACCGCGCCCUGCGCCCGGGUGUGCUGCGACUGGCCCAUGCCGUCGCGGAUG
rnacentral:sRNA from 1 species